rnacentral:snRNA from 1 species
CAUUGUUAACAGCUCUUUUAGAAUUUGUCUAGUAGAUUUUCCACUGCUCAUUGGAAGACCUCC